AUGGCCGACGUCGACAUGGAGGAUCUCCCCCAGACGCCCCGCUCGGUCGCCGGCGACGACCCCGACCUCUCCCUGUUCUCCGGCGAGGCCGACCUCGCCGCGGCCAUCCUCGCCCGCCUCGGCGCCUCGCCGCGGGAGGACGACCAGCACCUCUGCGCCACCACUGCCUCCUUGGCGCAGACCGUCAGGGACAGCGGCGUCCCCGCCUCCACCGUCGCCUACUUCGGGGCGGCGGCCGCCGCGCUGGGCCCGCUCGCCCGCGCGGGGCCCGCGGCCGCCGACAGCCACGUCGCGGGCGCGCUCCUCGCGUUCCUCUCCGCGGCGAUCCCCGCGCUCCCGACCGCCGUGGUGCGCUCCCGCGGCCGCGAGGUCGCUGACGACGUGGCGCGCGUGCUCGAGUUCCCCUCCACGCCCGACUCCGGCGUGAGGGCGGGCGUGAGGUGCCUCGCGCGCUUGAUAUCCGCGGGAGACAAGUCCAGCUGGCAGGCGGUGGAGCCGCUCUACGCCGUGGUGCUACGGCUCGUCACCGAUGAUCGCCCCAAGGUGAGAAAUCAAUCUCAUUCUUGCUUGCGAGAUAUUCUCCUGAGUUUUCAGAGAAAAGCUAUUUUGGUUCCGGCAAGCGACGGAAUCGCAAGAUGUUUUGAACGACUUCUGCUGCUUGCUGGAGGAUCCAAUGAUGCAAACACUGGUUCAGCAGCAGAAGGACCCAAGGGGGCUAAGGAGGUCAUACAUAUGUUAGAUGCUCUUAAGGGCUGCCUUCCUCUCAUGGCAUCCAAGCCUUCCAAUACCAUCUUAAAGUAUUUUACAGCACUGUUGGGUCUGCGUCAACCAAUUGUGACAAAGAGUAUAUUGGAGAAUCUGCAUGCUGUUGGUGACAGCCCAACUGUGCAGCUUAAACCUGAUAUGCUAUUGGAUCUCAUGUGUUCUCUCGGGAUGUCAGUCUCCACUGAAAGAAAGUCAGGAGAUGAACUCGCUUCAAUUGCACGGCUUCUAAAUAUUGGCACUAGAAAAGUUUAUAGUCAGAAUAAGCACAUAUUUGUUGUAAAGCUCCCACUAGUGUUUACUUCACUUGGAGAUAUAUUAGCAAGUGAAUUUGAAGAAGCUAGAUUUUGUGCUGUGGAGACUUUCAAAGGAUUAAUAGAUAAUUGCAUUGAUGAAAACAUGGUGUCUCAGGGGAUCGACCAGAUUAAGGCUAGACAUCAAGGGGUGAGAUCUAACCCCACAGUCAUCGAGAAGAUAUGUGCUAUCCUGGAGGGCUUGCUAGAUGUACGCUGCAGUGAUGUAUGGGACAAAUCAUUUCAUGUAAUUUCAUUGGCAUUUGACACGUUAGGAAAAUCUUCAUCUGAUCUAUUGCCAGAAGCACUUAAGAACCUGGCAGACAUGCAGAACAUGUCUGAUGAUGACUUUUCUUUCCGGAAGCAGCUCAAUGCAUGUCUUGGUUCAGCAAUUUCUGCAAUGGGGCCAAAGAAUGUUCUUGAUAUUCUUCAUAUUCAGUCAAUAUCUGUUGAGAAUGAAUGGAUUCUCCCUAUUUUAGAAAGGCACAUUGUUGGUGCUAGUUUACAGUUUUUCUUGAGAGAUAUUCUGGGCAUCGUUAGAGCUGUAGAGAAGAGUAUUCCCAAGCUUUUGAAAGACGAUAAGCUUUUCUCCGCCAAGAGAGCAGAGGGUUAUGUGUAUUCACUUUGGUCUUUGUUACCAUCUUGCUGUAACUAUCCAUGUGAUACUUCAAGCAGCUUCAGAGUUCUACAAAAUGUUUUAUGUGACACUCUCCAAAACCAGCCUGACUUGCGUGGCAUCAUUUGUUCCAGUAUUCAGAUUUUAAUCAAACAAAACAAGGAAGCUUUGUCAAUCACUAACAAAGAGGACAUUCUUGUUGAUGCUGAAUUAAGCAAAUCUGAAAGAAGAGCAAAGGAACGCUAUACUAAAGAGUCAGCCGAGGAAAAUUUGAAAGAAAUACGUGCUUUCUCUUCAAAAUUCUUGGAGAUAUUAUGUUCUAUAUUCAUGUCAUCCUCAAAGGACGCUAUUGGAUUCUUACAGCCUGCGAUAAGUGAGAUAGCAUCCAUAUCAGACAAAGAUGUUGUGGGCAAGUUCUUCCUUGAUGCAAUAAGAAAGUUGCUGGAUGCCACAAAAGCUGUUAAUGCACAGCAAUUGAAUGACGGUUCAAUGCAGAUUGAAGAUAAUUCCAAUACAAAUAACAUGACAAGGGCCCUCCUUUUAGAAUUUGCAGCUUCAUUAAUGCCUGGAUUGGAUGCAAAGUCUAUCAAUGUGCUAUUCAGUUAUGUAAAACCUGCAAUUAAGGACAACGACUCAAUGAAUCAAAAGAGAGCAUACAAGGUCCUCUCAAUGUUACUUAAGGAUGCUGAAUUUAUUGAGAGGAAUUUAGAUGUCCUGUUGGAAUUGAUGAUUUCGUCGUUGCCAUGCCAAUUUCCAUCGAAGCGGUACAGGCUUGAAUGCUUGCAUCACCUUAUUGUUUACAUAUUGAAGGAUCCAUCGAAGCUUAGGAAGAGGGAAAUUGUUAGUUCAUUUCUCACUGAAAUACUUCUUGCCUUGAAGGAGGCUAACAAGAAAACCAGAGAUAGAGCUUAUGAUGUGCUUAUUGCAAUUGGCCACGCUUGUGAAGAUGCUGAAAAUGAUGGGAGGAAGGACAGCUUGCACCAGUUCUUUGACAUGGUAGCUGGUGGUCUAGCUGGUCAAACUCCACAUGCGAUUAGUGCUGCUGUGACUGGGUUAGCUCGCUUGACCUAUGAGUUCUCAGAUCUUAUUGGAGUAGCUUACAAGCUCCUCCCCUCGACUUUUCUCCUUAUGCAGAGGAACAACCGAGAACUUGUCAAAGCCAACUUAGGCUUUAUCAAAGCAUUGGUGGCUAGAUCUAAAGCUGAUGUGCUUCAUGAGCACUUGAAGGGAGUCGUUGAGGGUUUGUUGAGCUGGCAAAGUGAUAAGAAGAAUUCUUUGAAAGCGAAGGUCAAGUCACUUGUUGACAUUCUCGUGAAAAAAUGUGGUUUAGAUGCAGUAAAAGCUGUAAUGCCCGAAGAACAUAUGAAAUUGCUCACCAAUAUCAGGAAGAUUAAUGAGCGUAAAAUGAGGAAGGGCAAUUCGUCUGAAGAUGGGGAGGCUAUGUCCAUGGCCUCAGGAGCUACAAGGCAAAGUGGAUGGAAUCACACACAGAUGUUUUCUGAUUUUGGAAGCAACGAUGAAGACUCGAAUGGUCCCUUUUCCAAGCAGCAUACUGUAGCUUCUCGUAAUGGAUCAAAAGCUUCAACACGGUCGAACCGAAAGCGUCAAGAUAAGAACUUGCAGGAAAAGUUCAUUGAUCACUCGACUGGUGAACCCCUAGAUUUACUUGACCAGAAGACAAUGCGGUUGGCUCUCAAAUCGACAGGAAAAAAGAGGGCUGCACCUGAUGACGACGACGACGACGAGAUUGAGAUGGACCCUGAAGGCCGUAUGAUCAUUCGCGAAGAACGGGAAUGGCGUAAAAAGAAACCCGUCGUCUUGCAUGAGGAGGAGGCUGAUGACAAGACCUCUGUCAGAAGCCAGUCGGUGAAGAGGAGGAAGGUGGCCAGCACUGGCUGGUCCUACACCGGCCAUGAGUACACCAGCAAGAAGGCCGGUGGUGAUCUCAAGAAGAAAGACAAGAUGGAGCCGUAUGCUUACUGGCCUUUGGAUCGUAAGCUGCUCAACCGCAGGUCGGAUCGCAAGCAGUCCGCCCGGAAGGGCAUGGCCAGUGUCAUGAAGAUGGCGAAAAGGUUUGAGGGGAAGAGCGCUUCGGGUGCCCUCGCAGCCAGGAGGACACAAAAAUACAAGCAGAAGAAGAACAAGUGA
rnacentral:rRNA from 1 species